rnacentral:rRNA from 1 species
UACAGAGGGGGCAAGCGUUGUGCGGAAUUACUGGGCGUAAAGGGCGCGUAGGCGGCCUUCUAAGUCGAACGUGAAAUCCCUGGGCUCAACCCAGGAACUGCGUCCGAUACUGGAAGGCUUGAAUCCGGGAGAGGGAUGCGGAAUUCCAGGUGUAGCGGUGGAAUGCGUAGAUAUCUGGAGGAACACCGGUGGCGAAGGCGGCAUCCUGGACCGACAUUGACGCUGAGGCGCGAAAGCUAGGGGAGCAAACGGG